rnacentral:rRNA from 1 species
CCCUUAGAUGUCCUGGGCCGCACGCGCGCUACACUGAGUGUCUGAGAUACGAGUCUGCCUGGUCCGGCAAGGUCUAGGUAAUCGCUAAAAGACACAUCAUGCUUGGGAUAGAUUAUUGCAAAUAUUAAUCUUGAACGAGGAAUGCCUAGUAAACGCAAGUCAUCAGCUUGCAUUGAUUACGUCCCUGCCCUUUGUACACACCGCCCGUCGCUCCUACCGAUUGAAUGAUCCGAUGAAUACCAUGGAUUGAGAGUACGAAUAGGUUCGCUUAUUUCUGCUUCUCGAGAAGUGGAGUAAAUCUUAUCAUUUAGAGGAAGGAGAAGUCGUAACA